UAAAAGUUUGAUUCUUUCUUGAAUCUUUAUGAUUUUAUUAAAGUUGUAUGAGAAUAGUUGUGUGUAAUUUUUAUAGGGAUUAAUAUUCUAUGUUUGGUUAUUUAAUAGGAAAGAGUUAAUAAAAAAUAAAAUCUCAGCAUAAAAUAUUAAAUAAUGUACUGGUGUAUGAUUUAGUAAUAAUUUAAGAUCUGAUUAAGUAUUGUGCCAGCAGUCGCGGUUAGACUUUAAGGUUAAGUAAAGAUAUAUUGGCUCUUAGUUAAAUAAUUGUUUAUUAAGUUAAAAGUAUUAUAUUUAAAAGAGUAAAAAGUGAAAUUGAAUUGUUCUUUUUAAAUGAAAGUUGUUAACUAUUAUUGAAGCUAAAAAUUUUUAGGUUUAAACUAGGAUUAGAUACCCUAUUAUACUAAAAUAUAAUUUCAAUGGCCCGAUUAUUAAUAGAUAUAAUCUUAAAAUUUAAAGAAUUUGGCGGUGGUUUAGUCUUGUCAGAGGAACCUGUUUUUUAAUCGAUAGUCCACGUAAAAUCUUACUUGUUUUUGUUUUAGUUUGUAUACCGUCAUUAGCAGAUAAUUUUAAGAGAAACAAUUAUUAUAGUUAAAUAUAAGUUUAAUAAAAUUAGAUCGAGGUGCAGCUUAUAAACAAGUUAAAAUGGGUUACAAUAAAAUUUGUUUAUAACGGAAUAAAUAAAGAAAAUUUAAAUAUAAAGGAGGAUUUGAUUGUAAUGUAGGUUUAAUAUGCUUAAAAGAUAUAAGCUCUAAAUCAUGUACAUAUCGCCCGUCGCUUUCAUUAUAUAGAUGAGAUAAGUCGUAACAUAGUAGGUUUACUGGAAAGUGAACCUAGAUUAA
rnacentral:ncRNA from 1 species